GUAAAAUCUUCCAUUACUAGUUUAUUAUAAUCUUCCGAUUAAUUCAUUUAUUUCGAGUUGAAUGAUAAAUAAAAGAUAAAGAAAUACCAAGUUCUUGUUGUACUAUAAUUAAACAAAAUCCUAACGUAAGAUGAUAGUUUUAAUGAAAAAGAAAACUAGCGAACAAGAGAACAAAUAAGAGUGAGUAUAGUUAUGAGUAAGAGCAAACGCCAGGGAAAUUAACUAUUCUCACAAAAGGUACUAAUAUAAUUGAAAUUGUUGAAAAUUAAUUAAUCAACAAUGUGCGUGUUGGGACUCACUCUAACCCGACGAGUGAGUUAUACAAUCUUUUAUCAAUUUAGCCUCCUGGUAUAGUUAAUAUGUGGAGUUAGGGUUAGGUUAAUCCUCUACUUGUUUCUGUCGAUGGCGCGAGAAAGAGAUAGUGAAGAGACAAAUUCAAUCUCUCUGAUAAUAAUCUCUUCCAUAUUUGAUUUCCUCAGCUAUAUUGAUCGCAACUUGCAGAAAUCGAUGAGUUUUAGGGCGUCUUGAAUUGGGUUUCCUUUAUUCUUAUAUAAAGAAGUUGAGAAAAUCAAAUUCCUAUAAGAUAAAAAACUCGCUCAAAGGAUUGAGAGACUGCUAGUACAGGUAGAGAUUUCAAUAAGUUAGAAUAGGGAAGCCAUUCGAUAAGCACUUGUGAUCCUAUUGAGUCAUGGCUUUAUGGUUUAUUUUACUUGGACGAUACUAGUCCCACUCCUAAUAUCAAUAGGUAAAUAUUGAGGGCUUAUACAAACAUCUCAAAGGAGAUGGUGCUGAGCUUUCAAUUCUUGGAAGAGAUGGGGCAUGUACUGGCAUGACUUCUACCCUUGUAUAUGUACCAAAAAUUACUUGUUUUAUUUUCUUUAUCUUUACUUUGAAAGGCUUAACUAGCUUUCUUUUCUCUUCCAUGAAGUUUACGUAUUUUUGUUGACUUGAUGACCAUACAAAAAUGGUUGUUUCUAUCAUUCACCAGGAUUUGUCGACUUCAUGAUUUCAUUGUACAAUAAAUUCUACAACUGCCACAGAAUCAACCAUGAAAACCAAUCAGCUGAAAGAAUGGGAUUUCCGAUAAUGUUUCCAGUGACAAUGCAUAGAGAAAAAAGAAAAGUGAAACCAUGGGUACCAUUCAUGUGUUUCUCGUUUACGGUCUAUCUGAAAACUUAGUCAUAUAAAAGUUUUAACCUUUAAAAAAAACUGCAGAUAGUUAUACGAAGCCUUCGUAAUCGGUGUGUGCACAUUUGUCUGUUGGACGUGGAUGACAAAAAAAAAAAGGAACGCAAAAGAAAAACAUGAUGGAAACUUCACUGUUCCAGAAAGACAACGAAUCUUCGGAUCCAAAUACACUUACUGUAGACAAUCCGGAUCUUAGUUUUGAACAUGAGACUCAAGCUAUUGCUAUAAACAACUUCAUUGGAGAUAAUAAGCCUAGUGCAGGAGGUUUUGGUCCAGUUUACAAGGGAACGUUAGCGAAUGCGAAAGAAAUAGCAGUAAAAAGGCUCUCUAAGGGCUUUGUACAGGAUCUAGAAAAGUUUACGAAUAAAGUUAUAGUGAUCUUAAAACUCCAGGACCCAAAUCUCGUUAGGUAGUUGGACUUGUUAGAGCACUGCUCGGUCGAACUCGCAAGCGUUACUAUCUCAAGCUUGUUUAUCAAGUUUAGUUGUCAAAACUAUAAAUCUUGAUUUCUAA